rnacentral:rRNA from 1 species
AAGUCGUACCAAGGUUUCCGGUUUGGUGAACAAGCGAAGGGAUCAUNACAGAGUUGCAAAANUCCCACAAACCAUCGCNAAUCUUACCCGUACGGUUGCNUAGGCGCUGGCGGUCCGAAAGGCCCUCGGGCCCUGGGGCCGCUGCCUCCCUCGGGGGGUGCCCGCCGGCGUACNAAAACUCUUUUGUAUUUUAGUGGCCUCUCUGAGAAANCAAGCAAAUAAGUUAAAACUUUCAACAACGGAUCUCUUGGUUCUGGCAUCGAUGAAGAACGCAGCGAAAUGCGAUAAGUAAUGUGAAUUGCANAAUUCAGUGAAUCAUCGAAUCUUUGAACGCACAUUGCGCCCCUUGGUAUUCCGGGGGGCAUGCCUGUUCGAGCGUCAUAUAAACCCUCAAGCUUAGCUUGGUGUUGGGGCCUGCUGUUAACAGCAGCCCUUAAAAGCAGUGGCGGUGCCGUCUGGCUCUAAGCGUAGUAAUUCUUCUCGCUCCAGGGUCCUGGUGGAUGCUUGCCAACAACCCCUAAUUCUCUAUGGUUGACCUCGGAUCAGGUAGGGAUACCCGCUGAACUUAAC